rnacentral:misc_RNA from 1 species
AGUGAUUUCUAUGAGAAAUAUCGAAAUGUAAUCAAGGAACUUCUUGAAAAGAUUCAGCAUGCUAAGCAGCUUAAAAUAGGGACUUGGUGUACUGAGGUUCUAUCAAUAUUGGAGGUUAAAGCCAUGGCUUCUCCAUUAUCAACUCGCAAGUGCUUAGUUCUAAAUUUUCGCUACUUUAAAAAUUGGGUCUUCCCUGGAGUAGCAAAUCUGCUUCACAAUUCACCUGAGCUUGAAAAAUUAGUUAUAAAAAUAUCCUAUGGCAGAAGUUUACAGUUCAAUAUGGAUGAGAACUUCACCAACUGCUAUGAUAUUGGAGAGAGUUACUGGACAUCACAAAACAAGAUUUUCAAUUGUCUCUUGUUGAAUCUCAAGACCAUCGAGAUUUUCAGCCAUGAAGAACAUUUAUUUGAGAAUAAAUAUGCACUUGCCUUUGUUGAGUUUCUACUUAGGAAUGCAAAAGUGUUGGAGAAG